CAAGCGAUUCUCCUGCCUCAGCCUCCUGAGUAGCUGGGAUUACAGACAUGGCACAUGGACAUGGACAUGAACAUGGACAUGGUAAAAUGGAACUUCCAGAUUAUAGACAAUGGAAGAUAGAAGGGACACCAUUAGAAACUGUCCAGAAGAGGCUGGCUGCAAAAGGGCUAAGGGAUCCAUGGGGCCGCAAUGAAGCUUGGAGAUACAUGGGUGGCUUUGCACAAAAGGUUACCUUUUUUGAUGUAUUCUUUAAAGGAUUCAAAUGGGGAUUUGCUGCAUUUGUGGUAGCUUUAGGAGCUGAAUAUUACCUGGAGUCCCUGAAUAAAGAUAAGAAGCAUCACUGAAGAUAAUACCUGGAAGUAUCAUAGUGGUUUCUUAACUGUCCAAAAUAAGAUUUCUUCACUAUAGCCUACUUGACCUGUUUGUCCCUUAAAGAAUAUUAGUAUGAUUUAAUAAAGUAAAAUAAAAUAUAUAUAUG